GAACUACUUUCUCCGAUCUAUACUACUUGUCGCAUAUUUGUCCAGAUACACAUGUAUCUAGACGUGUUUCGUUGUGUAGGUACAUGUGUAUCUAGACAAAGCUGUGACAAGUAAUAUGGAUCGAAGGGAGUACAUA
rfam:Brachypodium distachyon strain Bd21 chromosome 5, whole genome shotgun sequence.